UUUUUUGAUUUUAAAUAGUGUGUAAUGUUGCUGUUAGUGCAUGAAGAGUAUCUGUAAAGUUGCAGCGCUGAAAGUUCAGUGUGUAAUGGGACAAGGUUGGGGAACUACAAGUCCCACCAGCCCCCAGCGCUAUAUAAGGAAGUAGUGAGGUUUGUUUGUCCUCUCACUUCCUUUCCGUGAUCGUGUGUUGUGGAGGUCGUGUGUGUUGUGGAGGCGGCACACUUAAAGCUGCAAAGGUUAGUAAGUAGAGAGAUUAGUUUGCUCUUAUUUCUUUUUUUUUGCAGCGAUUGAGUUAUGUGUGCAGGUCACGACAGAUUGAGCCCUUCAGAAGGAUAGUAGCAGAUAAGCAGUUAUGUUAACGUCAUGGAGAACUGAGUACUUGUUACACACCAUUUAGGAGGUAGUAGUUUUAUUAUUUUAUCUAAUUGUUUUUUAGGAUUUUGUUUUAAUAAUUUUAUUGUUCUUUGGUUUUUAGUGUUUUUGCUGGAUUAUUGCCUGACUGAUUGUUGCCUGAGUGCCAGUCAGAAAUAUCGGAUGUUUGAGGUAUUGUUUUAUUAAAGGGAACUUUUGAUAAUGUUUUUUCCAUCUGUGCAUAAUUUAUAUUGGGUUUUAUUUUGUGUUUUUUUGUACAUUGUAUAUAAUUCCCUGUUGUAAUUAAUUGUGUUUUCCCUUAGAGGUUACCGUUUACUUUAGAUUGAAUUUUCUUUGGUUUAUUUAUUAUUUUGUCUUAUGUUGGACCAAGUGGGAAAACCCCAGACCAUAAACUAAGUGUGAUGGUUCAAUGGUGCUGCUGACUUGUUUGUCCUACUGGCAUUACCCACGGUUAAUCUUUUUUCUUUCCUUUUUGUAGAUUUCUUUUUUCCCAACGAUGGCUGCGUGGUUACCCUCACUGUAUGGAUGGCGGUGGUGAGGUGGCUGGGAUCGUGUGGUUUAAGUCACUUUAUUUGUAUUUUUGCCUUUAGGGAUGCAGUGUGAUUGCUGUGAGUUUUGCUGUGGUGAGAGCACUUUUCAGGACUACUGCCUUCACGAUAUAGAUUGUGCUUAGGGAUUCCCAUCCUGUGCAGUUACAAAGCUGCAUAUGUUCCUGUGUGGCAGGUACAGCUUUAUGUAACCAUGUGGCAGCACUUUUGUACCAGACUGCACAUUAUUCCCAGCUGAAGAUCACCUUGGUUCCCCCAACACACAGUUGCACAGAGACUGAACAGAAGUGGCAUAAACCAAGAACCAUGCUAAUCAACUUUUCUAAUAUGGUACCUUGAGCUAAUUUAUGUACAUUUAUGUGUACUAUAAAACCUUUUCUUCUUUAAAUGCAGGGAAUUAAACCUGGUCCAGUAAAUGACAUGGUGAUUCUUUCAGCCAGACCUAAGGAACGAAGAUUGGUAGAAGGAGCAACUUGUAUAAGGGGGUGAGUUCACCUCUGCCUGAACUUUCCUCACUCAGGGUGGAUGAAGUCUACCAUGACCUUCCCAGUGACGUUGCUCCACUGAUAACAACAAUGGCGAUAGAGUAGCUCUGGUUGACUCAGUGUUUGGGAAAGUGCAAGAAGGAAGUGUGUUAUCGUAUCACAUGCCAGCAAAGACAAUGCCAAAGACCUGUCCACACACAGAUGCCCCUUCUCCCCCUCAGUUGCCACUUCAUAAUUACAGGCUGGGACCCUCUAAUUGUUCUUUCGUCUGCACUGAACAUCAGCAGCUUCACAUGAUGUCCCUUGCAACGACAUUGGAGACAGCAUACAAAAUCGAGAACAGUACAAAAAAGCAGAGUUCCUGCAGUGAGUGGCACCAACUAAGGCGGCCCCGCAUCACCACUUCCAAAAUAAGAGAGGUCUGUCACACCAGGAGAAAAUCUAGCGAAAAGACUUCUCAAACCUAGUCAUCAGACUGCAGACAUGAGGAGGGGACUUGACUUGGAACCAGCAUCUGUAGAGGGGUACUGCAGAGUGAAGGAGGUGAAGCACUAUACCUGUGGGUUCCUGAUCCACCCUGACGCACCCUGGAUGGGAUCAUCACCAGAUGGGAUCGUGUACGAUCCAAAAGGCGAGCCAGUGUUUGGGAUUGUUGAAAUUAAAUGCCCAAAUGUGGCAAGUUUUGUUGACACUCCAUAUAUUAAGAUCAGUGAGGGCACACACACAUUAAGGAAAUCUCAUCCGUACUUUUGGCAGGUCCAGGGACAGAUGUUGAUUUCUGGAUUUGACUGGUGUGACUUUGUUGUCUAUACACACGAAGACAUGUACAUCCAGAGGAUUCCCAGAGACAAGGAAAUCACCCGAACAAUUAAAGAAAAAACUGACUAUUUCUUUUAUUUUUACAUCUGUGCUUAUCUGGAUAAUUAGUUUGUGACAGGACUGCACCAUCACCUUACUUUUUACUGCUAUUGUGCUGUACAGAAUGACGAGGGCAUUGUACUGUAGUUCACUACUGGAGCACAAUGUAACGCAGUGUGACAACAUGCCCCAACUGCACAACUGAGGUUUAAACCCUGCUUGUGUCUUCUGCAAGUUAGCGAAGCAAUAAAGAACUAUAUCAACUGUUAAACAACAGAUUAGAGAUAUAUCAGAAAUAUCAGAUUUGUCUAAUUUUAAUUAAACACAAAAAAUAGAGAUGAAAAAUUAACUUAUGUAAGAAAUGUACUUUUGCUAUGGUUAAAUAAAUGUUCAGUGAUAUCUUACAAA